rnacentral:piRNA from 4 species
UAGCUCAGUUGGUAGAGCGGAGGACUGU